rnacentral:rRNA from 1 species
UACGUAUGGUGCAAGCGUUAUCCGGAUUUACUGGGUGUAAAGGGAGCGCAGGCGGCGCGGCAAGUCCGAUGUGAAAACCCCCGGCUCAACCGGGGGACUGCAUUGGAAACUACCGGGCUGGAGUGCCGGAGAGGUAGGCGGAAUUCCUGGUGUAGCGGUGAAAUGCGUAGAUAUCAGGAGGAGCACCAGUGGCGAAGGCGGCCUACUGGACGGUGACUGACGCUGAGGCUCGAAAGCGUGGGGAGCAAACAGG